GACGAACGCUGGCGGCGUGCUCAACACAUGCAAGUCGAACGAUGACGCCCGAGCUUGCUCGGUCUGAUUAGUGGCGAACGGGUGAGUAACACGUGAGCAACCUGCCCUUCACUCUGGGAUAACCUCGGGAAAUCGGGGCUAAUACCGGAUAUGAGCUCCUGUCGCAUGGCGGGUGUUGGAAAGUUUUUCGGUGAAGGAUGGGCUCGCGGCCUAUCAGUUUGUUGGUGAGGUAGUGGCUCACCAAGGCGAUGACGGGUAGCCGGCCUGAGAGGGCGACCGGCCACACUGGGACUGAGACACGGCCCAGACUCCUACGGGAGGCAGCAGUGGGGAAUAUUGCACAAUGGGCGAAAGCCUGAUGCAGCGACGCCGCGUGAGGGAUGACGGCCUUCGGGUUGUAAACCUCUUUCAGCAGGGAAGAAGCGAAAGUGACGGUACCUGCAGAAGAAGCGCCGGCUAACUACGUG
rnacentral:rRNA from 1 species